GCUGGCGGCGUGGUUGACACAUGCAAGUCGAGCGGGAACGUCCCUUCGGGGAACCAGUACAGCGGCAGACGGGUGAGUAACGCGUGAUCAAUCUGCCCUUGGGAGAGGAAUAGCCAUUCGAAAGAGUGAGUAAUACCUCAUAAGACUACAGCAUCGCAUGGUGCAGUGGUAAAAAGGUUGGGAUCUUCGGACCUUCCGCCCAAGGAUGAGAUCGCGUCCUAUUAGCUUGUUGGUGAGGUAACGGCUCACCAAGGCAGCGAUGGGUAGCCGGCCUUAGCGGGUGGACGGCCACACUGGAACUGAGACACGGUCCAGACUCCUACGGGAGGCUGCAGUGCUGAAUUAUUCGCCAAUGCGCGAAAGCGUGACGGUGCGACGCCGCGUGCGGGACGAAGGCCCUAGGGUCGUAAACCGCUGUCAGGGCUUCGGAAACCGUAGAGGUUAAUAGCCUCUGCGCUGACCAGGCCCAAAGGAAGCACAGGCUAAUCUCGUGCCAGCAGCCGCGGUAAUACGAGAUGUGCGAGCGUUGUUCGGAAUUACUGGGCAUAAAGGGUGCGCAGGCGGCCAUGUAAGUCAGGUGUGAAAUCCCUCGGCUCAACCGGGGAAUUGCAUCUGAUACUGCAUGGCUUGAGAACGAAAGGGGCAAGCGGAAUUCCAGGUGUAGCGGUGGAAUGCGUAGAUAUCUGGGAGAACGCCAAUGGCGAAGGCAGCUUGCUGGGUCGUUUCUGACGCUCAUGCACGAAAGCUAGGGGAGCAAACAGGAUUAGAUACCCUGGUAGUCCUAGCUGUAAACGAUGGGUACUAGGUUCCGGGAUUCCUGAUGAUUUCGGAGCCGCAGUUAAUGCGUUAAGUACCCCGCCUGGGGAGUAUGGUCGCAAGGCUAAAACUCAAAGGAAUUGACGGGGGCUCACACAAGCGGUGGAGCAUGUUGUUCAAUUCGAAGCAACGCGAAGAACCUUACCUGGGUUUGACAUGCAGGAAGUAGAACCCUGAAAGGGGAACCACCGGUAUCCAAUCCGGAACCUGCACAGGUGCUGCAUGGCUGUCGUCAGCUCGUGUCGUGAGACGUUGGGUUAAGUCCCGUAACGAGCGAAACCCUUGUCGUCUGUUGCUACCAGGUAAUGCUGGGCACUCUGACGAGACUGCCGGUG
rnacentral:rRNA from 1 species